rnacentral:rRNA from 1 species
CCUACGGGUGGCAGCAGUGGGGAAUAUUGGGCAAUGGGCGCAAGCCUGAACCAGCCAUGCCGCGUGAAGGUAGGAGGCUUUCGGGUUGUAAACUUCUUUUAAGAGGGAGGAGCAGAAGACGGUACCUCUUGAAUAAGACACGGCUAACAACGGGCAAGCAGCCGCGGUAAUCCGGAGGUGGCAGGCUUUGUACGGAUUUACGGGUUGUAAAGGGCGUGUAGCCGGGAUGUCAAGUAAGAUGUGAAAUCCCGUGGUUCAACCACGGAACUGCAUUUGAAACUGUCGGUCUGGAGUAUCGGUGAGGCAGGCGGAAUGCGUAGUGUAGCGGUGAAAUGCGUAGAUAUUA